GGGUUUGAAAAUAGGGGCAAAUUGUGUUUGAAAAUAGGGGGCAAAUAUCAGAGUCUGAAAAUGGGCAAAUUGUGUUUGAAAAUAGGGGGCAAAUAUCAGAGUCUGAAAAUGGGCAAAUUGUGUUUGAAAAUAGGGGGCAAAUCCACGUCUGAAAAUGGGGGGCAGCGCUGUGACCCCCAAAUGAGCACAGAGCUUCAUUUCAAAAUGGGGGGCAGCUCUGCGUCUGAAAAUAGGGGGCAAAUCCACGUCUGAAAAUUGGGGGCAAAUCUGAUGCCCCCAGUUGGGGGCAGCGCAGUGUCUGAAAAUAGGGGGCAAAUAAAGGGGGGGGGGUAAAUCCGUGUCUGAAAAUG
rnacentral:lncRNA from 1 species